GUCAGAAUGGUAUAGUAGUUUCAGUGUCAGACUAUGACUCUGGAGACCAGAGUUUGAAUCUGUGUUCAGACA
rnacentral:tRNA from 1 species